CAGGGCCGCCCAGAGGUUGGCGGGGGCCCGGGGCGAAUUUUUUUUUAGGGGCCCCUAAUUUUUUUCCGGACAACAACCUCCCCCCCCCCGUCGCCAAAAUAUUUUCGGUCAGUGUACCAUUUUAGGGGUAAAAAAUUUUUCGAGGGACUUUAUCUCAUUUUUUUAUGCCAAAAUUCGGUACUUAGCCCAAGAAAACAGAUAUCUUGUCCUUUGCGCGGAAAUAUUUAACACACAAAAAAGGCUGGGGCCCAACAAAAAAUUUUCAGGGGCCCCCUG